rnacentral:rRNA from 1 species
UGGCGGACGGGUGAGUAACGCGUGGAAAACCUGCCGUAUACUGGGGGAUAACGCUUAGAAAUAGGUGCUAAUACCGCAUAAGCGCACAGCUUCGCAUGAAGCGGUGUGAAAAACUCUGGUGGUAUACGAUGGUUCCGCGUCUGAUUAGCUAGUUGGUGGGGUAAUGGCCUACCAAGGCAACGAUCAGUAGCCGGCCUGAGAGGGUGAACGGCCACAUUGGGACUGAGACACGGCCCAAACUCCUACGGAAGGCAGCAG